CACGUAGGGGGCGAGCGUUGUCCGGAUUUAUUGGGCGUAAAGAGCUCGUAGGUGGCUUAGUAAGUCGGGUGUGAAACCUCCAGGCUCAACCUGGAGACGCCACCCGAUACUGCUAUAGCUUGAGUCCGGUAGGGGAGCGUGGAAUUCCUGGUGUAGCGGUGAAAUGCGCAGAUAUCAGGAGGGACACCAGCGGCGAAGGCGGCGCUCUGGGCCGGUACUGACGCUGAGGCGCGACAGCGUGGGGAGCAAACAGG
rnacentral:rRNA from 1 species